UGAACGCUGGCGGCAUGCCUUACACAUGCAAGUCGAACGGCAGCACGGAGCUUGCUCUGGUGGCGAGUGGCGAACGGGUGAGUAAUAUAUCGGAACGUACCCUAGAGUGGGGGAUAACGUAGCGAAAGUUACGCUAAUACCGCAUACGAUCUACGGAUGAAAGUGGGGGAUCGCAAGACCUCAUGCUCGUGGAGCGGCCGAUAUCUGAUUAGCUAGUUGGCGGGGUAAAAGCCCACCAAGGCAUCGAUCAGUAGCUGGUCUGAGAGGACGACCAGCCACACUGGAACUGAGACACGGUCCAGACUCCUACGGGAGGCAGCAGUGGGGAAUUUUGGACAAUGGGCGCAAGCCUGAUCCAGCAAUGCCGCGUGAGUGAAGAAGGCCUUCGGGUUGUAAAGCUCUUUUGUCAGGGAAGAAACGGUGGUCUCUAAUACAGGCUGCUAAUGACGGUACCUGAAGAAUAAGCACCGGCUAACUACGUGCCAGCAGCCGCGGUAAUACGUAGGGUGCAAGCGUUAAUCGGAAUUACUGGGCGUAAAGCGUGCGCAGGCGGUUUUGUAAGUCUGUCGUGAAAUCCCCGGGCUCAACCUGGGAAUGGCGAUGGAGACUGCAAGGCUAGAGUUUGGCAGAGGGGGGUAGAAUUCCACGUGUAGCAGUGAAAUGCGUAGAUAUGUGGAGGAACACCGAUGGCGAAGGCAGCCCCCUGGGUCAAGACUGACGCUCAUGCACGAAAGCGUGGGGAGCAAACAGGAUUAGAUACCCUGGUAGUCCACGCCCUAAACGAUGUCUACUAGUUGUCGGGUCUUAAUUGACUUGGUAACGCAGCUAACGCGUGAAGUAGACCGCCUGGGGAGUACGGUCGCAAGAUUAAAACUCAAAGGAAUUGACGGGGACCCGCACAAGCGGUGGAUGAUGUGGAUUAAUUCGAUGCAACGCGAAAAACCUUACCUGCUCUUGACAUGUACGGAAGACUUCAGAGAUGAGGUUGUGCCUUCGGGAACCGUAACACAGGUGCUGCAUGGCUGUCGUCAGCUCGUGUCGUGAGAUGUUGUCUUAAGUGACGCAACGAGCGCAACCCUUGCCACUAGUUGCCAUCAUUAAGUUGGGCACUUUAGUAGGACUGCCGGUAAAAUGCCGGAGGAAGGUGGGGAUGACGUCAAGUCCUCAUGGCCCUUAUGAGCAGGGCUUCACACGUCAUACAAUGGUAGGUACAAACGGACGCAAUACCGCGAGGUGGAGCAAAUCCGAGAAAGCCUAUCGUAGUCCGGAUUGUAGUCUGCAACUCGACUACAUGAAGUCGGAAUCGCUAGUAAUCGCAGAUCAGCAUGCUGCGGUGAAUACGUUCCCGGGUCUUGUACACACCGCCCGUCACACCAUGGGAGUGGAGGAUACCAGAAGUAGUUAGGCUAACCGCAAGGAGGCCGAUUACCACGGUAUGUUUCAUGACUGGGGUGA
rnacentral:rRNA from 1 species